UACGAAGGGGGCUAGCGUUGUUCGGAAUUACUGGGCGUAAAGCGCGCGCAGGCGGCUAUCCAAGUCAGUGUUGCAAGCCCGGAGCUCAACUCCGGAACUGCCAUUGAAACUGUUUAGCUUGAGGACGAGAGAGGUGAGUGGAAUUCCCAGUGGAGAGGUGAAAUUCGUAGAUAGUGGGAAGAGCACCAGUGGCGAAGGCGUCUCACUGGCUCGUUUCUGACGCUCAGGCGCGAUAGCGUGGGGAUCAAACAGG
rnacentral:rRNA from 1 species